rnacentral:rRNA from 1 species
CACCGCGGUUAUACGAGAGGCCCAAGUUGACAAACACCGGCGUAAAGAGUGGUUAAGUUAAAACACAUACUAAAGCCGAACAUCUUCAAGGCUGUUAUACGCAACCGAAGACAGGAAGUUCAACCACGAAAGUGGCUUUAUCUAGUCUGACCCCACGAAAGCUAAGGAA